rnacentral:lncRNA from 1 species
AUGGCCCCUCUUACUCUGCGGAUUGCCAUCCUAACUGUGCCAGUGGCCGUGUGCGGUGACAGGACACCAGACUGGCCUCCAGGAGAGCCGACCCCCCUCCUCUCCACCGCCCGCCAGCUGCGAGGGGCCCAGGGACCCAGCCUUCCCCCGUCGGUUCCCAGGGCAGUGCUCCCAGGACCCCAGCUGGGCGGGAACAAGGGAGGCCAACGUCCCAGAAACUCUUCAAAGGCUUCGGUCCUGGAAGGAGGAGGCGGGGCUGGUCCCAGCUCGGACUGGUCAGCAGCUGACCUUGGACGACCCGCAGCUGCCCUCUGGCCCCCCACCGUCU